GACAACAGAAAACAGACGAGGUAAGUUUCUCAUCAUUAGACAUGUUUUAUCUUUCUUUCAAAAGACACUAAAUGCUGCUAUUUCACUCUUCUGUAUUUUAACAGUUCAUUUUAUGUGGCGAAAGCAGCUCAUCCACAGUCCACUGACCAAAGACAUCCUCUCUUCGGCCAUGUACCAGCCAAAUGCCGCCUUAAGUCCAGGAAAAGUUUUCUGAAAAGUGUCCCACCCCUCAGAACGCCGAACACAGGCAGUGAAAGAGUCACUCGGCGGGAAGAAAGACUUGACAAUCUUCCACCAGAAACUACAAUAGAGCUUAAAGCAAGCGAGGCAAUGACCCCAGGAGCAGACACCAACUAUGUAUGCAACGUGGAAAUGCCUAAAUAGACUAAGAUCUGGUGUUGGACGUGCAAAAGUCACUCUCGCCAAAUGGGGACAUCUGGAGGAUCGGAACAGCGAGUGUGACUGUGGCACUGAACCACAGACCAUGCAACACCUCCUCAUGUGCCCCUGCUGGAACAUCCCUGCACAGCAUCGAAUUUAGCAGAGUUUAACGAGAAGGGACAGAAAUGUGUUCAGCUGUGGCUCAACCACAUCUAGCCAAGCCUGUAACUAACUGCCUUGUAGCCACGAUAAGAAGAAGCUCAUCCCAGAAUCGAGGCCAGAGACAGGAGCUCGGCCACUCUGGGAAUCAACCUUGAUGAGAACCCACCUAACAGACCAAACAGAACUACUUUACAGGCUUUCUUGUCGUCACAGAGGGCAACAGUUUCAAGAACACCUGUACAAGGGAGGCCUGCAUCAUGGAACACAAACUCCCAAACACACAUGACUUCUCCUGCUUCUUCUCACAGCGAGAGCCACGCAUUUCAAGAAGACUUGUACAAGGGAGGCCUGCAUCAUGGAACACAAACUCCCAAACACACAUGACUUCUCCUGAUUCUUCUCACAGCGAGAGCCACGCAUUUCAAGAAGACUUGUACAAGGGAGGCCUGCAUCAUGGAACACAAACUCCCAAACACACAUGACUUCUCCUGCUUCAUCUUAUGUUCCUGGGUCUUGCCUGUGGUUCUACAUGCAUCCAGUCAUGCAGACAGAGAACACCUUAGCCUUUAACUGUCGGAAGCUGUCCCUCUGCGAGGCCUCAUAGUAUAGUCUGUUUUCUGUUCUCAUUCAUUCAUUCAUUCAUUCAUUCAUUCAUUCAUUCAUUCAUUCAUUCAUUCAUUCAUUCAUUUAUUUAUUUAAUUAUUUAUUUAAUUAUUUAUUUAUUUAUUUAUUUAUUUAUUUAUUGGCCUUUCUAUAUUUCUUUGCCUUAAAUUUUGUUUAUUAAGUUUUGUGUUUCCAAUAUGUGCAUGUUCAUUUCAUCACAUACAAGUCCAGUCCAAUGUAUACCUUCUUGUUUGUCAUUUUGUAUGUUCAGUAUUUAUUGAGUCAGUUAAACAUUUUAUCUAUUUUUUUUAUUAUUUAUAAGAUUUCACGCAUUAUAUAUUCCAUUCUGCCCAAAACAACUAAUAUCAUACUGUAUUUUGGUUCCAAAAAGCACCAUGCAACUGUUUUUUUUCCUUCUUGUUUAGAAGGAAAAGUGUAAAGUGUAUGUUGACAACUUAUGUUGUGAUUUGUCGUAUAAAAUAACCUGUUUUGA